GCGGUGGUCGUCUAGUUUGGUCUAGGACGGCAGCCUGCCACGCUGUCGACCCGGGUUCAAAAAGUAGCAAACUACUUGAGUAUCCCGGCCACCGCA
rnacentral:tRNA from 1 species